AUUGAACGCUGGCGGCAUGCCUUACACAUGCAAGUCGAACGGCAGCGGGGGAGAAGCUUGCUUUUCCUGCCGGCGAGUGGCGAACGGGUGAGUAAUACAUCGGAACGUGCCCUGUAGUGGGGGAUAACUAGUCGAAAGAUUAGCUAAUACCGCAUACGACCUGAGGGUGAAAGUGGGGGACCGCAAGGCCUCAUGCUAUAGGAGCGGCCGAUGUCUGAUUAGCUAGUUGGGGGGGUAAAGGCCUACCAAGGCGACGAUCAGUAGCUGGUCUGAGAGGACGAUCAGCCACACUGGGACUGAGAAACGGCCCAGACUCCUACGGGAGGCAGCAGUGGGGAAUUUUGGACAAUGGGCGAAAGCCUGAUCCAGCAAUGCCGCGUGUGUGAAGAAGGCCUUCGGGUUGUAAAGCACUUCUGUCCGGAAAGAAAUGGCUCUGGUUAAUACCUGGGGUCGAUGACGGUACCGGAAGAAUAAGGACCGGCUAACUACGUGCCAGCAGCCGCAGUAAAAC
rnacentral:rRNA from 1 species